rnacentral:tRNA from 1 species
AGGAAGGUAAUUUAAUGUUAAAAUAUCUUGUUUCAAACUAGACAAUAGAUUCUAAUCUUCUUCCUG